rnacentral:rRNA from 1 species
AUUGAACGCUGGCGGCAGGCCUAACACAUGCAAGUCGAGCGAGCGGCGGACGGGUGAGUAAUGCCUGGGAAUUGCCCAGUCGAGGGGGAUAACAGUUGGAAACGACUGCUAAUACCGCAUACGAUCGGAUUGCUCAGGUGGAAUUAGCCAGUUGGGGAGGUAAUGUCUCACCAAGGCGACGAUCCCUAGAUGGUCUGAGAGGAUGAGCAGCCACACUGGAACUGAGCCACGGUCCAGACUCCUACGUGAGGCAGCAGUGGGGAAUAUUGCACAAUGGGGGAAACCCUGAUGCAGCCAUGCCGCGUGUGUGAAGAAGGCCUUCGGGUUGUAAAGCACUUUCGGCGAGGAGGCGUUACUCGCAGAAGAAGCACCGGCUAACUCCGUGCCAGCAGCCGCGGUAAUUC